AAGCAAUUUCCUGGAUGGUGUGUAAGUCUAGAUCUGUUUGUCAACAUGUGAAAUCUACAUGUAUUUCGGGGAGUAGUCUCCCCUGUUACAGAUCAAUAAUGGUGGAUAUACAAUGUGGGAUGCAGUCUGGUCAUCAAGAGAGAGUUUUGACACCCGUAUACCUGUAUUUCUACCAAUCACCUCCGUAACCUUUGUUGUGUUCAUCAGACAGAUGAUGGACCACUCUACUUCCUUUUACAACAGGUGCCCCUGCAGAUUCACGAAGUUCCAAUGUUGAGUUUCCAUGACCCCUAUUCAUCCACGACAGGAAAAGGAAUAAAGUUGACAGGACUUCCCACACUGUCCUUUGUAGCAACUUACGAUGGAACUGACAGCAGUAGACAUAGCCCGCUUCAUCAAAGAUUCACCAGAUGCAGCGGCACUUUCUCCAUCACUGGUGAAAUGGGAAAUGACUAGGGGAUGGUCAUCACUUUGUAACUCACCAAUACAUUUUGCAGUCCAUCACUUCUCAUCUCCAGUGGUGGUCUCUGGAGGAAUGGUUGCAGUGCAGUCUUUGUGUCCUUGGCAGGCAACUUCAUUCCUUUGCUUUGCUUCUUAGCUUGAAGCCUUGCUUAUGAUUUGUCCUUGUACCCACAAUUCUCUGCCAAAAACAGCCAAUGCAAUGAACAAUCAAAUGCAGGGUUGACAAGGAUUAAAGAUCAACUUUCCUAUAUGACAGCAAAUAGUUUCAUGAUGCAUUGUAUAUUUUACUUGUGGAACAAGAAUUUGUUAAUCAUCAAUUUAAGAAAAGAGCACAAUUUUCACACUCCUGUGAGAAGAGAAAUAUAAUUAAGUAUUGAAUGAGUAUAUGUUUGAAUUUUUUGUCAAGCAUGUGAUAUUUACGAAUUGAAAUGAGAAACUUUCAAUAAUAGAAUUGUUUACUAGCAGUGUAGAUUAUUACUGUUAUUAGGUCACCCGAAUCACUCUUGUCAAUGUUGUGUUAACAUACUGACAUUUUGAGCUGCUUUUUUGAAACCGCUCUGGCAGUUUUAACCAAUUUUGGCAUAAGGCAUCAAUGGGUGAAGGGGAACAAAAAUU